UGAGGAGCAGAAGGAGGAAACGUGAAGUCUGAAGCUGACUGAAGAUGAGUGAUUAUGUGGAGGAAGAGGACAGAGCAGAGUCUCCAGAGUUCAGCUGUGUGUCUCUGAAGAGUAACCGGUCCAAAAGACAUCCUCCAAACUUCAGUAAUGAACCUGGACCCUCACACGCAAAAGGUGAGGACCACAGACUGAGAGCAGAGUCUCCAGAGUUCAGCUGUGUGUCUCUGAAGAGUAACCAGUCCAAAGAAAUUCCUCUAAACUUCAGUAAUGAACCUGGACCCUCACACACAAAGUAAGAGA